GCGGCCCGUCUGCUUCUCGGAUCCACCACUCGACACAGACACACGCCCUGUCCCCAUCCCCCCCCCCGCCUGCCUCCUCCUCCCCCAGCGCCAGCACAACGGAGACCAUACAGAGGGGACACGCAUACAGGGCUCGACGGCAGAAAGAGCCGGACCGGCGAAGAGAAACGACCGCUCUGUUCCGCCUCGCCUCCAAUCGAUACACUUGGCUCUCGAAAUUCGGGUGAGGAGGGGAGGAAAUAGAAGAGGAGCCAAGAGCCCAGCUUCUUCGUUCUCCUCCUCUACCCCCUCCCCAACUUCGAUCACACGCUUUCUCUUCUUUCUAGUUCGCGAGAUUCCGGAUCGCAAACACGCCCCACAACUCACUAGAUCUCCCUUCCAGGUCCCGAUGCUCGUUUCUUCACCCUCUCUCGCCACCCCCGCCCUUUCUCCCCGCUUAAUACCGGGGCUAAACCGAGACGAAGCGAGGGACCCUGGCUAACAAAUCGAGGAAGCGACGCCUGGCGCCGAAGGUGCUAAGAUGCGAGCGAACGGGCAGGGGCUGCAGGACAAGCACCGCAAGACAAAGCACGGAAGAGCUCCGGUGCACGCAGAAGCCAGCAAAUGUGCCGGACGCAGAAGGCGCGCGCUGACGAAGACAACGCAGACACGGCGGUGCCUUCGGCGCUCUGCACGGCUCUGGCGUCCGGGCAGGAAAAUGACAGGAAGGGCCGGCCGGAGAGUUUUGGAAAAUAGCAAGUAGCAAAGCCCUACUCGGGGAAGACAGCCCAAGAUUGAAUUAAAAAGGCACAUUGGAAGUUACCUAGUUUCAGCCCUCCUUCCUUUUGAAAUAAUCAAGGCACAUGGAGUAGGGAUUUUCCCUGAUUUUGUAUAUGCCUGGAAAUUUAUAAAUUGCUACAUUGAUUGUAAUCAUGAAUACACUAGUAGAAAGAAAAAGCUUUCAAAAGUCAGCAAGAAGAUGACCUUAUGGCCAACUUUAAAAUUCUUUGAAAUGACUGGAAAAUAGAAAGUGAACUACUGUAAAUAAGGAACAAUUUCCUGAUAUUGAGAAUUAUUAAAUCACUGAAAUGGCUUGCGUCCCACAGUCGUGGGUGUUCCAUUGAUGGAGGUUUUCAAGAACAGAUUGGACAACCAUUCUCCAAGAUGGCAUGAAGACUCCUUGUGACUUGAGAACUUUGUCCUUUCAUACUUGCAGGGCAACAUCCCAUGCAAAUGCUAAGGGCAAAGUUCAUACUGUGAUGUAUAUAUUUCACUUGUGUCAUCUUCCUCAUCUCCAACAAUUGUGGUUUUAGAUUUUGCAGGUGAUAUUGCAUUGGUUGGUGAAACAAAGGGGUGCUUUCAAGAAAUUACCUCCAAUUUAGUUACUGAAGCCAAAAAGAUUGGCUUAUGUAUAAAUUUUGAAAAGACAAAGUUUAUGCAAGUUGGAAGUGCUCAGGAUAAUAUGCCUAUAACAGUCCAUAGCCAGGCUAUAGAACAAGUCCAACAAUGUGCUUAACAUGGUAUAAUUAUGUCUAUUGAUGGAGGUACAGAUAAGGACAUUAACCAUCAAACUGGAAUGGCAGCAACUGUGUUUCAAUGCUUGCUUCCAGUUUGGUCUAUGAUAACUAUAGGUAUUGCCACAAAGAUAAAAUUCUUCAAGAGUGUUGCUAUACCAACUGCAACAUAUACUUGUGAAACAUUGAAGCGUACAGCCAAAAUGAUUAAACGGUUAAAUGUUUUCCAACAAUGCUGCUUGAGAAGAAUAUUCUAUGUAUCAUAUUGUGACCACAUCACUAAUUAAGAGGUACUACAAAGAUCAGAUUGAGAACACAUAUCAAGAACUGUGAAUGAACAUUGACUCCAGUUUGUUGGCCAUGUCUUAUGUAUGCUUAAAGACCGACAUCCAGAAAUUGUACUGAAGGGAAGAGAAGGAAAGAGAAAACGAGGCCAGCCUUGGAAAACUUGGCGCAAAACAUUUAAGGAAGAUUAGUAAUGUACCUUGGGAUGAUGCAAACGAUGCUGAGAAUGAUAGAAACUGCUUCAAUACACUUGCUGCCCAAUGUGCUCUCCCCAGGAUCUAAUGAUGAUGAUUUUGGGAAGAACAUGGUAUGGAAUUUGAAUGAGUCUGAUAUAAUAGCUUGGAAAUGAAUUGUCCAUGUAAAUUGGUUUGGUAUCAUUUUUGCUACUCCUAAAAGUAUUGUUGUCAAACACUGGCAUGAGCAGCCAAAUAUGGCUUUUUUCUAAAUUUAAAUUAUUUAUUAAUCUAAUGCAAAAUUUUUGUCUUUACUCAGUUCAAUGACUAUUGUAUUGGAGAUGUUUUAUACACUAAAUUUAAUAUUACAGCACUUUGCAAAAGUAUGUUUGUAAGCUGCCCAGAGACUGUUGCAAUGGGCAGAUAUAAUAAAUUUAAAGAUAUAAAUUUCCCCUGUCCAGUCAUGUCCAACUCUAAGGGACAGUGCUCAUCCCCAUUUCUUAGCCGAGGGAGCCAGCAUUGUGGCCAGCAUGACUAUACGCCAAGGUGCAUGGAAUAAUGUUACCUUCCCACAAAGUAAUACCUAUUUAUCUACUCAAACUGCUAGUGGGCAGGAGCUGGGACAAGUAAUGUGAGCUUGUCCCAUUGCACGGUACUUGGGUCUUGAACUGGGGCUGUCAGCUUUCCAGCUAACAAGCUCAGCAUCAUUAACCACUGAACCACUGCACCUCCUUAUAAUAAAUUUAAUGAAAUAAAUGAAUAUGAAACAUGCCUGUAUGGAUGCUGUCAUCAAAUUGUGAGAUGAGGGGCACAUAAAUUUAAUAAAUAAAUAUCUUUUCCCCUCUUUUGCCAUUGAAAAUAUGCUUUUUUGUAAAUACAAAUGCAAUUAAAUGUGAAGGGAUUUGGGCUGAUUCCACUUUUUCCUCUGAUUAUAUUUGU